CUCAUUUUUCUCGUCUGACUGUUAGUUUCUUCGCUACUCAAUGUUCUCCAGAAAAUAUCCUGUAUUUUAAACAUAAGCCCGAUGCCGGACGUCGUCACGAAGAGAUAUUAAAAUCUGUUUCUAAGGAUUCCUUCGACUCACUGCAUCGGGACAGAGGACGACUUCAAAGGAACAUACACAGCAAAGUGGAUCAUGUCGACUUUCUCGGUUCUGCAAAGCAAUGAGGUUUUCCGGCAUUUCGCCUGGUGGUCCCCCCCGGCUAUGUCGGUGAAAAUGAUGUGUCGCGAUACCGCUCAUCGCGCGUCAGCGAUUUAGUAAGCUGGUCCGUUUGACAACAUCAUUAUUUUGCGCGCAUAUAGUUUUACGUUAACAGAAAAAAAAAAAAAAUAAAUAAAAAAUAACAAUAAUUUUCAA